rnacentral:rRNA from 1 species
CGAGGGGUAACAGGAGUGCUUGCACUCGCUGACGACCGGCGCACGGGUGCGUAACGCGUAUAGAACCUACCUUUUACAGAGGAAUAGCCUUUAGAAAUGAAGAUUAAUGCCUCAUAGUAUUGCGACUCGGCAUCGAGAUGUAAUUAAAGAUUUAUCGGUAAAAGAUGGCUAUGCGUCCUAUUAGUUAGUUGGUAAGGUAACGGCUUACCAAGACAUCGAUAGGUAGGGGUCCUGAGAGGGAGAUCCCCCACACUGGUACUGAGACACGGACCAGACUCCUACGGGAGGCAGCAGUGAGGAAUAUUGGGCAAUGGAGGCAACUCUGACCCAGCCAUGCCGCGUGCAGGAAGACGGCCCUAUGGGUUGUAAACUGCUUUUAUACAGGAAGAAACACUCGUACGUGUACGAGCUUGACGGUACUGUAAGAAUAAGGACCGGCUAACUCCGUGCCAGCAGCCGCGGUAAUACGGAGGGUCCGAGCGUUAUCCGGAAUCAUUGGGUUUAAAGGGUCCGCAGGCGGUCAAUUAAGUCAGAGGUGAAAUCCCAUAGCUUAACUAUGGAACUGCCUUUGAUACUGGUUGACUUGAGUCAUAUGGAAGUAGAUAGAAUGUGUAGUGUAGCGGUGAAAUGCAUAGAU